GSSYSUKGGGUKSSRGUUAAAAGCUCGUAGUUGGAUUUCGGGUGGGUCUUAGCGGUCCGCCUCUGGUGUGUACUGUUAAGGCCCAUCUUUCUGCCGGGGACGUGUUCCUGCUGUUCACUCAGUGGGGCAUGGAGUCGGCGAGGUUACUUUGAGUAAAUUAGAGUGUUCAAAGCAAGCCUACGCUCUGAAUACAUUAGCAUGGAAUAACACGAUAGGACUCUGGCCUAUCUUGUUGGUCUGUAGGACUGGAGUAAUGAUUAAGAGGGACAGUCGGGGGCAUUCGUAUUUCAUUGUCAGAGGUGAAAUUCUUGGAUUUAUGAAAGACGAACUUCUGCGAAAGCAUUUGCCAAGGAUGUUUUCAUUAAUCAAGAACGAAAGUUGGGGGCUCGAAG
rnacentral:rRNA from 1 species